AGGUAUCACUCCGCCAGAAAAGUAGAGACCUGUUCAUGUGUUUCGUGUUUCCAAAACAGGGUUCCUAAGUAGCCUUCGUGCAACUGUGAUGACUGUGUGGCAUAACGAUGCCGGAUUUGUUCCUCCAUGGAUGCGUCGGGCAAGAAUACAGCAAAAGCUGCUGGGUCUCUGCCACACCAGAGUCCGUUUGGAGAGACUGUAGGAGAUGCGGAUGAAGAGACAGGGCUGCGGAGCUGGCGCCGAGAGCCGGGACAGACAAGCUUCACAGUGUCUUGGCUGAAUGAGCAGGUAUCGGACACCUCCGACUCCUUGGACGCAUCCUCGCUCAUCAAUGCGGACUGGACACAGGCUGAGAAUUUGUAGGUGGCUGAGGGUGGAGUCGGUUCUUUUGGUUGCUUUGUUGGGUCUGCUCCUGUCUCUGGCCAUGUUCGUCCCACCCCAGCAGACGAUGGCGUGGAACACCGCAGAGGCCACCGCAGUGUAUUUGUUUUUAAUUUUUUUAUUUUUUACUUUUGGAGCUGUAUGUAGAAAUGGCUGGUUGCAUCAGCUCCGUUCUUUAAUGUCUUUAAUGUUCUUUGUGUUCUUCGAUGUUUGUUUGUUGUUUCUAGGGCUGUGAAUCUUUGGGUGUCCCACGAUUCGAUUUAAUAUCGAUUCUUGGGGUCACGAUUCGAUUAUAAAUCGAUUUUUUUCGAUUCAACGCAAUUCUCGAUUCAACAACGAUAUUUUUCCGAUUCAAAACGGUUCUGUAUUCAUUCAAUACAUAGGAUUUCAGCAGGAUCUACCCCGGUCUGCUGACAUGCUGGCAGAAUUGUAGAUUUAAGAAAAAAAAAAGCUUUUAUAAUUGUGAAGGACAAUGUUUUAUCAACUGUUUGCAAUAAUGUAAAUUAGUUUUAACUAUUAAACAAACCAAAAAUAUGACUUAUUUUAUCUUUGUGAAAACAUUGGACACAGUGUUGUCAAGCUUAUGAGAUGUGAUGCAAGUGUAAGCCACUGUGAGACUUGUUCUUUUUUUUUAUUUUUAUAAAUGUCUAAUGAUGAUGUCAAUGAGGGAUUUUUAAUCACUGCUAUGCUGAAAUUAUAACUGAUAUUGAUACUGUUGUUGAUAACAUUCAUUUUUGUUUCACUACUUUUGGUUUGUUCUGUGUCGUGUUUGUGUCCUUUCAAUUGCUCUGUUUAUUGCAGUUCUGAGUGUUACUGGGUCAGGUUUGGUUUUGGAAUUGGACUGCAUUGUUAUGGUAUUGCUGUGUAUUGUUUUGUUGGAUUGAUUAAAAAAAAAUAAAAAAUGUAUUUAAAAAAAAAAAGAGAAUCGAUUCUGAAUCGCACAACAUGAGAAUCGCGAUUUGUAUUCUAAUCGAUUUUUUCCAACACCCCUAGUUGUUUCCCUCUUACACACAUGCUUAUGUGUGCUAUGGCUAUGAAGUGUUUUUUUUCCUUGGCAUCAGUCUAGGCCCAGGCUUAAACUGAAUAUUUGUUUUCUUUCCUUCCCCAGCGUUUAUUUGUUUCUCACCUUUUUUUGUAAGGGGCGCCGGAAGUUGGCACACCCGUCAGCAAUCUCUAGCUUUUAACACUACGUGAGUUGUGAUGUCCUCUGUUGCCCUGUGUGUUUUAAAAUUUCGAUUUCUAUUUAUUUUUUUAAUUGGUUUCACCCUUAGAAUCGUUUUAAUCAUAUUUAUUUUAUAUUUUUUUCUUAUUUUUUUUUCCCAGUCAUUGGUGGAGGUCAGGAUAGUAUUUGAAUGUUGUUUUUAAUAUUGUUGUGCAGCACUUUGGAAACAUUUUGUUGUUUAAAUGUGCUAUAUAAAU